GAUGAACGCUGGCGGCGUGCUUAACACAUGCAAGUCGAACGGAAAGGCCCAAGCUUGCUUGGGUACUCGAGUGGCGAACGGGUGAGUAACACGUGGGUGAUCUGCCCUGCACUUCGGGAUAAGCCUGGGAAACUGGGUCUAAUACCGGAUAGGACCACUUCUUGGAUGUUGUGGUGGAAAGUUUUUUCGGUGUGGGAUGAGCUCGCGGCCUAUCAGCUUGUUGGUGGGGUAAUGGCCUACCAAGGCGUCGACGGGUAGCCGGCCUGAGAGGGUGUACGGCCACAUUGGGACUUGGAGACGGCCCCGACUCCUACGGGGGGCAGCAGUGGGGAAUAUUGCACAAUGGGCGCAAGCCUGAUGCAGCGACGCCGCGUGGGGGAUGACGGCCUUCGGGUUGGAAACUCCUUUCGCUAGGGACGAAGCGUUUUGUGACGGUACCUGGAGAAGAAGCACCGGCUAACUACGUG
rnacentral:rRNA from 1 species